GACGAACGCUGGCGGCGUGCCUAAUACAUGCAAGUCGAACGCAGUGGGGACGGGUGAGUAACACGUGGGUAACCUUCCAUCAGAGGGGAUAACACUUGGCAACAGGUGCUAAACCGAUAUUGGUGGAUGAACUCGCGGUGCAUUAGCUAGUUGGUGAGGUAACGGCUAACCAAGGCCACGAUGCAUAGCCGACCUGAGAGGGUGAUCGGCCACACUGGGACAGAGACACGGCCCAGACUACUACGGGAGGCAGCAGUAGGGAAGCUUCGGCAAUGGACGAAAGUCUGACAGAGCAACGCCGCGUGAUUGAAGAAGGUGUUCGGAUCGUAAAGCUCUGUUGUUAGAGAAGCGGUAUCUACCCAGAAAGCCACGGCUAACUACGUGCCAGCAGCCGCGGUAAUUC
rnacentral:rRNA from 1 species